GGAGCGUAAACUCCUUUUAUCAGGAAAGAAUAAUGACGGUACCUGAUGAAUAAGCACCGGCUAACUCCGUGCCAGCAGCCGCGGUAAUACGGGGGGUGCAAGCGUUACUCGGAAUCACUGGGCGUAAAGGACGCGUAGGCGGAUUAUCAAGUCUUUUGUGAAAUCUAGUGGCUUAACCACUAAACUGCUUAGGAAACUGAUAGUCUAGAGUAGGGGAGAGGUAGAUGGAAUUCUUGGUGUAGGGGUAAAAUCCGUAGAGAUCAAGAAGAAUACCCAUUGCGAAAGCGAUCUGCUGGAACCUAACUGACGCUGAGGCGUGAAAGCGUGGGUAGCAAACAGGAUUAGAUACCCUGGUAGUCCACGCCCUAAACGAUGUAUACUAGUUGUUGCUUUGCUAGUCAAGGCAGUAAUGCAGCUAACGCAUUAAGUAUACCGCCUGGGGAGUACGGUCGCAAGAUUAAAACUCAAAGGAAUAGACGGGGACCCGCACAAGCGGUGGAGCAUGUGGUUUAAUUCGAAGAUACGCGAAGAACCUUACCUGGACUUGACAUCCUAAAAACAUCUAAGAGAUUAGAAAGUGCUAGUUUACUAGAAUUUAGUGACAGGUGCUGCACGGCUGUCGUCAGCUCGUGUCGUGAGAUGUUGGGUUAAGUCCCGCAACGAGCGCAACCCACGUGUUUAGUUGCUAACAGCUCGGCUGAGCACUCUAAACAGACUGCCUUCGUAAGGAGGAGGAAGGUGUGGACGACGUCAAGUCAUCAUGG
rnacentral:rRNA from 2 species